GGUAGUAGCUCAGUGGAAGAGCAUUUGCCCUCGCACACACAUGGCUCUGGGUUCAAACCCCAGUACCA
rnacentral:tRNA from 1 species